AUGCCUGAAUGGGAAGAUAUCAUGAUCAUGAAGGUGGUUUUCCCAGGGCAAGGCUUAUCCAUUACACUCCAAAGGUGCUGAUCCCUUGGAUUUCCCCAAAUAUGGAAAAGUUGCCUACAUAAUGUGUGGGGGUAGGGGCAGACACAGCAUUUGUGCUCUCCCCUG